rfam:Gracilibacillus kekensis strain CGMCC 1.10681 genome assembly, contig: Ga0079828_101
UUCUUAUCCAGAGAGAUGGAGGGACUGGCCCUGUGAAAUCUCGGCAACAGCUUUUUAAAAAAGUAUUGUGCCAAUUCCAGUAGCAUUAGCAGAAGAUAAGAG